UCCUACGGGGGGCAGCAGUAAGGGAUAUUGGUCAAUGGGGGAAACCCUGAACCAGCAACGCCGCGUGAGGGAAGACGGUUUUCGGAUUGUAAACCUCUGUCCUCUGUGAAGAUGAUGACGGUAGCAGAGGAGGAAGCUCCGGCUAACUACGUGCCAGCAGCCGCGGUAAUACGUAGGGAGCGAGCGUUGUCCGGAUUUACUGGGUGUAAAGGGAGCGCAGGCGGGAAGCCAAGUCAGCUGUGAAAACUACGGGCUUAACUUGUAG
rnacentral:rRNA from 1 species